GGGAUCUCUCGGAUUCUCGCAGGCAGGCGAAACCCCUGAUCUUCCCUUACAAGGAAGAGGCCGGCGGUUCGAGUCCGUCAACGCCCA
rnacentral:tRNA from 1 species